rnacentral:rRNA from 1 species
CACGUGGGUAACCUGCCUGUAAGACUGGGAUAACUCCGGGAAACCGGGGCUAAUACCGGAUGCUUGUUUGAACCGCAUGGUUCAAACAUAAAAGGUGGCUUCGGCUACCACUUACAGAUGGACCCGCGGCGCAUUAGCUAGUUGGUGAGGUAAUGGCUCACCAAGGCAACGAUGCGUAGCCGACCUGAGAGGGUGAUCGGCCACACUGGGACUGAGACACGGCCCAGACUCCUACGGGAGGCAGCAGUAGGGAAUCUUCCGCAAUGGACGAAAGUCUGACGGAGCAACGCCGCGUGAGUGAUGAAGGUUUUCGGAUCGUAAAGCUCUGUUGUUAGGGAAGAACAAGUACCGUUCGAAUAGGGCGGUACCUUGACGGUACCUAACCAGAAAGCCACGGCUAACUACGUGCCAGCAGCCGCGGUAAUACGUAGGUGGCAAGCGUUGUCCGGAAUUAUUGGGCGUAAAGGGCUCGCAGGCGGUUUCUUAAGUCUGAUGUGAAAGCCCCCGGCUCAACCGGGGAGGGUCAUUGGAAACUGGGGAACUUGAGUGCAGAAGAGGAGAGUGGAAUUCCACGUGUAGCGGUGAAAUGCGUAGAGAUGUGGAGGAACACCAGUGGCGAAGGCGACUCUCUGGUCUGUAACUGACGCUGAGGAGCGAAAGCGUGGGGAGCGAACAGGAUUAGAUACCCUGGUAGUCCACGCCGUAAACGAUGAGUGCUAAGUGUUAGGGGGUUUCCGCCCCUUAGUGCUGCAGCUAACGCAUUAAGCACUCCGCCUGGGGAGUACGGUCGCAAGACUGAAACUCAAAGGAAUUGACGGGGGCCCGCACAAGCGGUGGAGCAUGUGGUUUAAUUCGAAGCAACGCGAAGAACCUUACCAGGUCUUGACAUCCUCUGACAAUCCUAGAGAUAGGACGUCCCCUUCGGGGGCAGAGUGACAGGUGGUGCAUGGUUGUCGUCAGCUCGUGUCGUGAGAUGUUGGGUUAAGUCCCGCAACGAGCGCAACCCUUGAUCUUAGUUGCCAGCAUUCAGUUGGGCACUCUAAGGUGACUGCCGGUGACAAACCGGAGGAAGGUGGGGAUGACGUCAAAUCAUCAUGCCCCUUAUGACCUGGGCUACACACGUGCUACAAUGGACAGAACAAAGGGCAGCGAAACCGCGAGGUUAAGCCAAUCCCACAAAUCUGUUCUCAGUUCGGAUCGCAGUCUGCAACUCGACUGCGUGAAGCUGGAAUCGCUAGUAAUCGCGGAUCAGCAUGCCGCGG